rnacentral:rRNA from 1 species
AUUGAACGCUGGCGGCAUGCUUUACACAUGCAAGUCGAACGGUAACAGGCCGCAAGGUGCUGACGAGUGGCGAACGGGUGAGUAAUGCAUCGGAACGUGCCCAGUCGUGGGGGAUAACGCAGCGAAAGCUGCGCUAAUACCGCAUACGAUCUAGGGAUGAAAGCGGGGGACCGUAAGGCCUCGCGCGACUGGAGCGGCCGAUGUCAGAUUAGGUAGUUGGUGGGGUAAAGGCUCACCAAGCCAACGAUCUGUAGCUGGUCUGAGAGGACGACCAGCCACACUGGGACUGAGACACGGCCCAGACUCCUACGGGAGGCAGCAGUGGGGAAUUUUGGACAAUGGGCGCAAGCCUGAUCCAGCAAUGCCGCGUGCAGGAAGAAGGCCUUCGGGUUGUAAACUGCUUUUGUACGGAACGAAACGGCUCUCUCUAAUACAGGGGGUUAAUGACGGUACCGUAAGAAUAAGCACCGGCUAACUACGUGCCAGCCGCCGCAGUAACAC